AAACCUCAAAAAGAACACUGAAUUUUAGGGGCUGGGAAGAUGGCUCAGUGGUAGAGCGCUUGCCUAGCAGGUGCAAUGUCCUGGGGUCGAUCCCCAGUGCCAAAAAAGAAAAG